UGCGUAGGUGGAUUGGAAAGUCAGUGGUGAAAUCUCCGGGCUUAACUCGGAAACUGCCAUUGAUACUAUCAAUCUUGAAUACCGUGGAGGUCAGCGGAAUAUGUCAUGUAGCGGUGAAAUGCAUAGAUAUGACAUAGAACACCAAUUGCGAAGGCAGCUGGCUACACGAAUAUUGACACUGAGGCACGAAAGCGUGGGGAUCAAACAGGAUUAGAUACCCUGGUAGUCCACGCCCUAAACGAUGGAUACUCGACAUACGCGAUACACAGUGUGUGUCUGAGCGAAAGCAUUAAGUAUCCCACCUGGGAAGUACGAUCGCAAGAUUGAA
rnacentral:rRNA from 1 species